GACGAACGCUGGCGGCGUGCCUAACACAUGCAAGUCGAGCGGAGACAGCAGCAAUGUUGUCUUAGCGGCGGACGGGUGAGUAACGCGUGGGCAACCUGCCUUCUACAGGGGGAUAACACAGGGAAACUUGUGCUAAUACCGCAUAACAUACGGGAAGGACAUCCUUAUCGUAUCAAAGGAGCAAUCCGGUAGAAGAUGGGCCCGCGUCCGAUUAGCUAGUUGGAGGUGUAACGGACCACCAAGGCGACGAUCGGUAGCCGAACUGAGAGGUUGAUCGGCCACAUUGGGACUGAGACACGGCCCAGACUCCUACGGGAGGCAGCAGUGGGGAAUAUUGCGCAAUGGGGGAAACCCUGACGCAGCAACGCCGCGUGAAGGAUGAAGGUUUUCGGAUUGUAAACUUCUUUAGCCAGGGACGAAGAAUGACGGUACCUGGAGAAUAAGCCACGGCUAACUACGUG
rnacentral:rRNA from 1 species